GAUCUAGGGAAGACGCUCUUCUUGUUUUGCAAAUAUUCAUACAAAAUGUAUACCUGGGAGUCAAGAGGACAGCAGGAGUCUUUUUUGCAAAGGGGGAUUUCUGGUGGAAAGUGCUCUAAAAGUUUCAGACUUUCACCAAGCAAAGAGAUAUCAGGUCACUUCAGAAGAACUACGGAGGAGAUGCUCCCCACCAGAGAGCUACUCUGUGAACACUGUGGUGGCUUAUCUGCGGAAGGCCAAAGGACAAAAAAAAAAAAUCGAAGAGAAGUUGACAGAGAUGGAGGUGAAGCCAUCAAAGCGCACAAAGUUGACUUCACAGUGCUCCAAACUUUGUGAAGAUGAAUGCAGUGAUCUGGCUGGGGAUAUAAUGUACCUGGCAGCAAAAUUCAUCCCAAAGGAAAAAGUGGGUCAAGCCUUGUUGGAGGAUGGGAAUGUCCAUGCGGCCAUGGCCAAAACAGAAGACUGCAGGAAGACACUGGAAGCUGUGAAGAAUACUUUAGAAAGUAACUGGGAAACAUUUGACCUGGCUACACAUGGUCUUGGGCCUGCAGUUAUGAAAGGCACUUUUGCUUUAAUUGAUUCUUGUCUUA